CGGUAAAAGGCGCUUGGUUCGAUAGCGUCAUGAAGAUGGCGUCAUCUGUCCAUCAUCAACCAUUAACCAUCAACCAUCAUCGACUCUUACGCAUUUAAUGAAAAUGUUUUUUAUAAAUUAUUACGAGGUCUUAAACGAAUUUUUCAAUGUGGUUUAAUUUUUGAUUCUAUUUGUGUAAAGAUUUCCAUCUAUCGGUUAAAAUGGCGUGGUUCAUUAGCGUCAUGAAGAUGGCGUCAUCUGUCCAUCAAUCCAUCAUCAACCUCAUCGUUAAUUUACAAAUACAAACAAGAAAAAAAAUCGAUUUUGAAUCGUUUUUAUGUCAAGCAGACGCCAAGCAUCUUUGAAUAGCGUGGUCUGUGCUCUAUGAUAAGUGUUACUGCUGGAGUGAGCAAUUUCAGAUAGCGUCAUGAUGGCGUGCCCCGUUAGCGUCAUGAUGGCGUGCCCCGUUAGCGUCAUGGUUGGCGUGCCCUGUUAGCGUCAUGGUUGGCGUGCCCUAUGUAAGCGUCGUGAUUGGCGUGCCCUGUGUUAACACAAUAUGCUUUCUUUAUUCGUGUGCUGUGAUUUCAACACCAGCAUUGGUCAGAGGAGACUCGCAAGCAGCAAGCUAGAACCUCUUCAUCAGCCAGAAGCUUGCUACAAAGAAGUACACAGUACAGGGGCUGCACAGAUGUGCAACAAUUUUAUCGAGCCAUGGCAUCUGAGUGUGAUGGUGCCCUGUCAAUUUAUAAUAUGCCAACCCCUAACUAGCCUAGGAGUAAACAGGUUGAUUUGCAUUAUUUGUAAGUAUAACCAUUUUCAGAUUCCUUGUUAGCAGAUGUAACAGUUGAAAACAUUGGCAUUCCACAUUGGAGCAAAAAACUUGGUCGGUGAUUGUUCAAUUUCCUGACGACUCUAUUUGGCUUCUGUGUUAAGGCGCCGAAAGUACAGUUUUACUCAAGUGUGUUGCAGGAUCAAUCGACGAAACAGAACAACACAUUAAGGAUUACGCAAUGCUUGGACUGCGGUGCUCGCCAAUCAAUGGUUGAUCGACAAACGGAACUAGCGAGAUGCUUUGAUGUGAUUGAAGUUGAUAUAACAUUAUUGGGAGCAACAGGAGUGGAGGACCAACUUCAAGAGGAAGUACAAGAGACUCUAGAAUCUCAAAAAAUUUCUGGAAUUCAAAUAUGGGUGUUAACUGGUGAUAAAUUUGAAACUGCUGUUAAUAUUGCACAUUCUUGCGGUCAUUUCAAACGAGGGAUGUACAUUUUUGAAUUGAGUUCAUCAGAAGAAGUCGAAGAAAUGUUGUUCCAGUCCAGCAAAUCAAUACGAGAUCUACCGGAUCGUCAUUAUGGAAUGGUAAUAGAUUGCCAUUGUCUAUCUAUGGCAUUAACUCACCACCGAAAUGUUGUAGCCGAAGUGACGAAACACUGUGAAGCUGUCGUCUGUUGCCGGAUGUCACCCAUUCAAAAAGCCGAGUGAUUGGACUAUUCCGCAGGCAGCGUGGUCAACAAUGGAUUUAAUUCAAGAUUAAGAAUUUUCAAUCGGCGAAGAAUUCCUUACACGAAGUGUACAAUUACAUCAAACGUGUAGAUUUCUAAUUAAAUAUUUAAUUGUGUGAUUCUCGCAUUUUUUAAAUGGGAUGGGUAGUUACUAUUGUUAGAAAUGUUCAUUAUUUUUCAUACUGUUUGUAUUAUAAUGAUUUAAAUAAAUACUAUUUAU